rnacentral:rRNA from 1 species
AUACAACUUUCAGCAACGGAUCUCUUGGCUCUCGCAUCGAUGAAGAACGCAGCGAAAUGCGAUAAGUAAUGUGAAUUGCAGAAUUCAGUGAAUCAUCGAAUCUUUGAACGCAUCUUGCGCUCCUUGGUACUCCGAGGAGCAUGCCUGUUUGAGUGUCAUUAAAUUCUCAAC